GACGAACGCUGGCGGCGUGCUUAACACAUGCAAGUCGAACGGAAAGGCCCUGCUUUUGUGGGGUGCUCGAGUGGCGAACGGGUGAGUAACACGUGAGUAACCUGCCCUUGACUUUGGGAUAACUUCAGGAAACUGGGGCUAAUACCGGAUAGGAGCUCCUGCUGCAUGGUGGGGGUUGGAAAGUUUCGGCGGUUGGGGAUGGACUCGCGGCUUAUCAGCUUGUUGGUGGGGUAGUGGCUUACCAAGGCUUUGACGGGUAGCCGGCCUGAGAGGGUGACCGGCCACAUUGGGACUGAGAUACGGCCCAGACUCCUACGGGAGGCAGCAGUGGGGAAUAUGGCACAAUGGGCGGGAGCCUGAUGCAGCAACGCCGCGUGCGGGAUGACGGCCUUCGGGUUGUAAACCGAUUUCGCCUGUGACGAAGCGGGAGUGACGGUAAUGGGUAAAGAAGCACCGGCUAACUACGUG
rnacentral:rRNA from 1 species